rnacentral:rRNA from 1 species
UAGGGAAUAUUGCACAAUGGGGAAAGCCCUGAUGCAGCGACGCCGCGUGAAGGAAGAAGUAUCUCGGUAUGUAAACUUCUAUCAGCAGGGAAGACGAUGACGGUACCUGACUAAGAAGCCCCGGCUAACUACGUGCCAGCAGCCGCGGUAAUACGUAGGGGCAAGCGUUAUCCGGAUUUACUGGGUGUAAAGGGAGCGUAGACGGAUCUGCAAGUCUGGAGUGAAAGCCCGGGGCUCAACCCCGGGCACUGCUUUGGAAAUACUGUGGAUCUAGAGUGCCGGAGAGGUAAGCGGAAUUCCUAGUGUAGCGGUGAAAUGCGUAGAUAUUAGGAGGAACACCAGUGGCGAAGGCGGCUUACUGGACGGUAACUGACGUUGAGGCUCGAAAAGCGUGGGGAGCAAACAGGAUUAGAUACCC